GCUAAAACAAAUGUUUUAAAAACAAGGUUCGUAUUCAUAAGACUCGUCAACGGUACUCAAAGUUUGAAAAAUCAAUUAAGAAUUUGAUGAAAAGUGCAAAGCAAAGAAUUAACAAAUGCUUUAUGACUUAGGGGGAAGAACACAUUCCGUAGUAUGAACGAUGUUUUAUGAUGAGUUUAUUUACUACCACUGGGUCGAUGCCACUGCUGGUGGAGAUUUAUUUCCCCGCGGGUAUCACCAGCCCAGUAGUCAGCAUUCUGUGUUGACAUGAUUUAUCAUUGAUAUGGUUAUAUUUAUAAAUUUACUGUUCACAAAAUUUUGUGCAUUUUUGAAAUACUAAGGCUUUUCUACCUCAGGCAUAGAUUACCUAUUAAGCUGUAUUUGGCAAAACUUUUAGGAAUUUUGGUCCUCAAUGCUCUUCAACUUUGUACUUUAUUUGGCCUUUUUUACUUUUUUGGAUUCGAGCGUCACUGAUGAGUCUUUUGUAGACGAAACGCGCGUCUUGCGUAUAUACACAAUUUAGUCCUGGUAUCUAUGAUUAGUUUAUUUACAAUCUGAAUAAAAGUGAAGGUAGCAGAUACGAUAAAUCGCACGGAUUUUUUUUUAUGAAAAUUUGUAUAAAGCUAGAACACG
rnacentral:lncRNA from 1 species